UGAAUAUGAAACCACAUACCUGAAACUUCCGUCUCCAUUUAACUAAAAUUAAGUUUAUUGGUGGGAGAUCCCUACUCCUAACCCUUAUUUAUUCCGAUACAUUAUAGAAAAAUAAAAUAAAAUCUAUUUUGGAAUUAAAUAAAGCAUAUAUAUAAGUGUGCGUUCUUAUGUUAUUUUUAUUUUUUUUUAAAGUUUAAAAUAUUAGUAAUAAUUUUAUUGACCAUAAGAUAUUAAAGCUAUAUAGUAUGGAUGCAAGGAUUAGGCGGCUAAAUAUUAUUUAUAAAAAAUUUGCUAUAGAAAAAUGAGUCAUUAAUAAAUUGUUUUAUUUGUUUUGUAUUCACAAAUUGCAAAAUAAAAAAAUUAUUUAAUCGUUGAGGUUUAGGUUAAUCUUUAAUUAAAUUAAUAAAUUAUUAUUGGAUAGCAAUCACGAUAACAUAAAAAAUUUCAAUUGGAUUAAGAGAUUCUUGAUAGUGGAAAUUGAUGUGUUGACAAAUACAACCUCUUUCCUUGAGAUCGAUUAUAUAUUAUCCUGAAAGUUGAUUAAGAAAGUUAUAUGUCAGAAUCAAACAUUGUGUCUGUCACAUUCUUAGUAACAUCAUACUAAGAAAUUUAUAUCUAAAGUUGAUUAAAAGUUGUGCCAAUUUAAUAAUUUUUCUGAAUUAUUAACUAAUAAUUUUUCUGAAUUAUUAAUUAAACUAAUAUAUAAUUUUUCUUAGUAACAUCUUAGGAAGUGACGGUCUAUUCUAAGUGGUAAUAAUCUGUCAAAAUAAACAACGAGAGUGAAAUCAUUUAAAGUUUUGAAUUUGAUAGACAUCAACGCUAUUUUGAAGGUUCUUUAAUUUGGAUAUGACAGUUAAAAUAAUCAACCUUAGUAAAAUGAUUUAUUUAUUUUUUAAUAUAAUUUCUUUUAUUUUACGAAAUUCUCAAUUUUUUAACCUGUAUUUUUCUGGAACAGCAACGCACACUAUUUGUGAACUAUACCUAUAAUUGACAAAUAAAAUGACUCAAGAACUGUAUUACAUCAAAACCAAAAAUUACAUUAAGAAUAAAAAAUUAUAUAUUAUAUCAACACCAAUAUUGUAUAAAAUAACAUACAAUUUACAUAUUAUUACAUCAAAUAAUAUCUACAACGAAGGGAGUGUGUUUUGUCUCUUAGAGUAUUAACUUUAAACACCUAGGGCAUGUUUGAAACACUUUUCAACUUUAGUUUUUAAAAUUUGUUUUUCAAAUCUAUUUUAAAAAACUAUUUUUAAGAAGAAAAUUAACAAAAAAAUUGUUUGAUAAACUAAGUUUUAAAAACUGU
rnacentral:lncRNA from 1 species